UACCAAAAGAAAUGAAUACGAGCCUCC
rnacentral:piRNA from 1 species